rnacentral:snRNA from 1 species
GGAUGUGAGGGCGAUCUGGCUGCGACAUCUGUCACCCCAUUGAUCGCCAGGUUGAUUUGGCUGAUCUGGCCGGCUAGGCAGGUGUCCCCUUCCUCCCUCACCACUCCAUGCGUGUCCCUCCCGAAGCUGCGCGCUCGGUGGAAGAGGACAACCUUCCCCGAUAGAGCUGAGGACCGGUCUUUGGUCAAGGGUAUUUAGCUGCGCUCCCCUGCUAGAACCUCCAAACAAGCUCUCAAGAAAGACUGACUUGGCAGUAUUCUUAUUAAGCCUAGUUUAUCAGUCUAAGGACACACUGAGAUAAGAAAACAUUCUUUAGCU